GUCUCUGUGGCGCAAUUGGUUAGCGCGUUUGGCUGUUAACUGAAAGGUUGGUGGUUCAAGACCACCCAGGGACG